GGGGAAUAUUGCGCAAUGGGCGAAAGCCUGACGCAGCGACGCCGCGUGAGGGAUGAAGGUUUUCGGAUCGUAAACCUCUGUCAGAAGGGAAGAAACUACGCUGUGCUAAUCAGCAGUGUACUGACGGUACCUUCAAAGGAAGCACCGGCUAACUCCGUGCCAGCAGCCGCGGUAAUACGGAGGGUGCAAGCGUUAAUCGGAAUUACUGGGCGUAAAGCGCACGUAGGCUGUAGUGUAAGUCAGGGGUGAAAUCCCACGGCUCAACCGUGGAACUGCCUUUGAUACUGCACAACUUGAAUCCGGGAGAGGGUGGCGGAAUUCCAGGUGUAGGAGUGAAAUCCGUAGAUAUCUGGAGGAACAGCAGUGGCGAAGGCGGCCACCUGGACCGGGAGUGACGCUGAGGUGCGAAAGCGUGGGGAGCAAAC
rnacentral:rRNA from 1 species